rnacentral:tRNA from 33 species
GAGGAAAAUCCGUCGACUUUCAAAAUCGUGAG